ACAUGCAAGUACGAGGGGUAGUUGGUUUCGGUACCAAGAGACCGGCGCACGGGUGCGUAACGCGUAUGCAAUCUACCUUUGUCAGAGGGAGUAGCCAGAGAAAUUUAGUAUUAAUACCUCAUAGUAUAGUACUUUGGCAUCAAGGAACUAUUAAAGUCACAACGGCAAAAGAUGAGCAUGCGUCCCAUUAGCUAGUUGGUAAGGUAACGGCUUACCAAGGCUACGAUGGGUAGGGGUCCUGAGAGGGAGAUCCCCCACACUGGUACUGAGACACGGACCAGACUCCUACGGGAGGCAGCAGUGAGGAAUAUUGGACAAUGGGCGCAAGCCUGAUCCAGCCAUGCCGCGUGCAGGAUGACGGUCCUAUGGAUUGUAAACUGCUUUUAUACAGGAAGAAACACUCCGACGUGUCGGAGCUUGACGGUACUGUAAGAAUAAGGAUCGGCUAACUCCGUG
rnacentral:rRNA from 1 species